rnacentral:rRNA from 1 species
AUUCUAGAGCUAAUACAUGCCCUAAAGCUCUGAACUCGCGUGAAGAGUGCAUUUAUUAGAUCAAAACCAAGCGGCUUCGGCCGUUUACCACUGACUUAAAAUAACUAAGCUGAUCGUAUGGUCUUGUACCGACGACGUAUCUUUCAAGUAUCUGCCUUAUCAACUUUCGAUGGUAGUGUAGUGGACUACCAUGGUUGUGACGGGUAACGGAGGAUAAGGGUUCGACUCCGGAGAGGGAGCUUGAGACACGGCUACCAUGUCUAAGGACAGCAGCAGGCGCGCAAAUUACCCACUCUCAGAACGAGGAGGUAGUGACGAAAAAUAACGAGACCGUUCUCUAUGAGGCCGGUCAUCGGAAUGGGUACAAUCUAAACCCUUUAACGAGUAUCUAUGAGAGGGCAAGUCUGGUGCCAGCAGCCGCGGUAAUUCCAGCUCUCAAAAUGCAUAGAAUUAUUGCUGCGGUUAAAAAGCUCGUAGUUGGAUCUGUGCCGGGAACUUGGUCCGACUUCGGUCGCGUACUAAGCUUCCUGGCUUUUUGCCGGUUUUCUUGUCAUGGCUUUAAUCGGUCGUGGCAGGCGGCUGGCGAGUUUACCUUGAAGAAAUCAAAGUGCUUAAUACAGGCGAUUUGCUUGAAUGUGGUGCAUGGAAUAAUAGAAAAGGAUUUCGGUUCUCUUUUAUUGGUUUUAAGAGCUGAGAUAAUGGUUAACAGAGACAACGGGGGGCAU